AUUGAACGCUGGCGGCAAGCCUAACACAUGCAAGUCGAACGAAUGGCGGACGGGUGAGUAAUGUCUGGGAAACUGCCUGAUGGAGGUGGAUAACUAAUGGAAACGGUAGCUAGUACAGCAUACCAUCGGGUGUGCCCAGAUGGGAUUAGCUAGUUGGUGGGGUAAAGGCUCAAUCAGGGGACGAUCCCUAGCUGGUCUGAGAGGAUGACCAGCCACACUAGAACGUAGACACGGUCCAGACUCCGACGGGAGGCAGCAUUGGGGACUAUUGCUCAAUGGGCGCAAGCCUGAUGACGCCAUGCCGCGUGUAUGAAGAAGGCCUUCGGGUUGUAAAUUACUUUCAGCUGGGAAGCGUUACCCGAAGAACAAGCACUGGCCAACUCCGUGCCAGCCGCCGCGGUAAUAC
rnacentral:rRNA from 1 species